AUUGAACGCUGGCGGCAUGCCUUACACAUGCAAGUCGAACGGUAACAGGCCUUCGGAUGCUGACGAGUAGCGAACGGGUGAGUAAUACAUCGGAACGUGCCUAGUAGUGGGGGAUAACUACUCGAAAGAGUGGCUAAUACCGCAUGAGAUCUACGGAUGAAAGCAGGGGAUCGCAAGACCUUGUGCUACUAGAGCGGCCGAUGGCAGAUUAGGUAGUUGGUGGGAUAAAAGCUUACCAAGCCGACGAUCUGUAGCUGGUCUGAGAGGACGAUCAGCCACACUGGGACGGAGACACGGCCCAGACUCCUACGGGAGGCAGCAGUGGGGAAUUUUGGACAAUGGGCGAAAGCCUGAUCCAGCAAUGCCGCGUGCAGGAUGAAGGCCUUCGGGUUGUAAACUGCUUUUGUACGGAACGAAAAGCCCCGGGUUAAUACCCUGGGGUCAUGACGGUACCGUAAGAAUAAGCACCGGCUAAUUACGUGCCAGCCGCCGCAGUAA
rnacentral:rRNA from 1 species